CAGUGCAAAGUACAUGUCUGUCCCACCCCAAGGCUCAUCCCUGGGAUGGGAGCUGGAGAAGGUGUACUCAAGUUACGCCCUACCUGCAAACCUGCUUCUUGGUGCGUAUUGGCGAUGGCUGAAGACCAGGAAUUGACAGUAAGAGGAGCUGAACCUGCGAGCCUCGAGCCUCUCUGGAAAUACCACAUCUUAACUCCUCCAGAUACUUCCAUUUAACAUACAUAAGCAUGCAGGACCAGCCCUUAUUUUGAAUUUUUUGUCACUGACAAGGUGGAGAUGGCUAGCACUGGCAGCUGAGUCUUUGAAGGGAAAGAAAGUUCUUGUUCUUUUUUAGGAGAGAGCCCUUUUCAGUUGGUAAUGCUGAAAACACUGACCCCAGAAAAGUAAUCCUGGAAGGUACCUUUGGAGGUCAUCAAAUCCACAGCACUGCCCCAAGAAUGGAUCAACUCAACAUAUGCAACCUAUCUCCUCUCCUGACAAAUAUUUUCUAAUUGCUUUUGCAAGACCUCCAGUGACACAGGUCCUACAAUCACUCCCAGCAGCCCAUCCAAGUGCUUCACUGUCAUGACAAUCUGAAUUUUUUCCUAAUGUCUGAAUGUACUCCUGACUUAUGAUCUUCACAGUGGAUAAGAAGAGCAGACAGACUUCUGGCAGCCUGUUUUUGAAGACUCAUACUGCUGACCCUCAGACAUGUGUUAUGUGGUCAUCUCUCAUCUUCUUUGGGUUCCGUCCUGAAUUUGCACAGUCCAUUACUGCUGCAAAUCUAAGGGAGUAACCUUUCUUACCUUGAAUGUCUCUCAUGAAUUUCACCCUGGUUUAUCCAUCCAUUUAUCCAUUUUUUUGAAUCAGUUCACAUGCUAGUCUGUCUUUUCUAAGUAACUCUUCAAUAAAAAUUCAGUGUUCUUUUUCUGCAAA